rnacentral:rRNA from 1 species
GGUACACGCUGUGACUAGCAUAUCAAUAAGCGGAGGAAAAGAAACUAACAAGGAUUCCCCUAGUAACGGCGAGUGAAGCGGGAAGAGCUCAAAUUUGAAAUCUUAAAGGGUUUCCCUUUACGAAUUGUAGUUUAAAGAAGUGUUUUCUGUUGAGGUUUUGGUAAAAGUUCUUUGGAAUAGGACAUCAUAGAGGGUGAGAAUCCCGUAUUUGACCUUUACUUUCAACUUUGUGAUACACUUUCAAAGAGUCGGAUUGUUUGGGAAUGCAGUCCAAAAUGGGUGGUAAAUUUCAUCUAAAGCUAAAUAUUGGCGAGAGACCGAUAGCGAACAAGUACCGUGAGGGAAAGAUGAAAAGAACUUUGAAAAGAGAGUUAAACAGUACGUGAAAUUGUCAAAAGGGAAGCGUUUGACACCAGUGUUGUUUUUCUGAAAAUCAAUUAAAGAACUGUUUAUGCUAAGUUGUUUAGACUUUAUCAGCUAACUGUUUAGUUUUGAGCUUUUCUUUAAUGCACUUUUCAGUUAACAAGUCAACAUCAAUUUCUUUUGCUGUAAAAAAGCUUGAGGAAGGUGGCUUGAGAUUCGUCUUAAGUGUUUAUAGCCUCUUGCCUAUGCAGUCGGAGAGAUUGAGGUCUGCAGCGUAGAUCCUUCGGGGCUAAAUGCAUUUGUGCUAAGUUAUAGCAUUUUAUAGACAACUUGUUGACUAUGAUUUGUCUUGUAGCUUACUCGCUUAUGUUAUUUUACCUACGCUUAGGAUGUUGAAGAUGUAGCACAUCAU